rnacentral:rRNA from 1 species
GAGGAAUAUUGGACAAUGGGUGCAAGCCUGAUCCAGCCAUCCCGCGUGAAGGAUUAAGGUCCUAUGGAUUGUAAACUUCUUUUAUACAGGGAUAAACCUACUUACGUGUAAGUAGCUGAAGGUACUGUAUGAAUAAGCACCGGCUAACUCCGUGCCAGCAGCCGCGGUAAUACGGAGGGUGCAAGCGUUAUCCGGAUUUAUUGGGUUUAAAGGGUCCGUAGGCGGACUUAUAAGUCAGUGGUGAAAUCUCAUAGCUUAACUAUGAAACUGCCAUUGAUACUGUAAGUCUUGAGUGUAGUUGAGGUAGCUGGAAUAAGUAGUGUAGCGGUGAAAUGCAUAGAUAUUACUUAGAACACCAAUUGCGAAGGCAGGUUACCAAGUUACAACUGACGCUGAUGGACGAAAGCGUGGGGAGCGAAC